rnacentral:snRNA from 1 species
AUACUUACCUGGUGUCGGAUUCCCGGUGAUCAGCUAGGCCGGGGUCCCGUGCCGAGGCCUGUCAUUGCACUGCGGCAGGUUGAAGCACGCCACUUUCCCAAACUGAGCUACGCCUGUGGUUGAAAAAUUAUCGCUAAAAGACCUAAACAGGUAUAAUGUCUCC